rnacentral:rRNA from 1 species
GACGAACGCUGGCGGCGUGCCUAAUACAUGCAAGUCGAACGCAGUGGGGACGGGUGAGUAACACGUGGGUAACCUCCCAUCAGAGGGGAUAACACUUGGAAACAGGUGCUAAUCCGAUACUGAUGGAUGGACCCGCGGUGCAUUAGCUAGUUGGUGAGGUAACGGCUCACCAAGUCCACGAUGCAUAGCCGACCAGAGAGCGUGGUCGGCCACACUGGGACUGAGACACGGCCCAGACGCCUACGGGAGUCAGCAGUAGGGAAUCUUCGGCAAGGGACGAAAGUCUGACGGAGCGACGCCGCUUGAGUGAAGGAGGUUUUCGGAUCGUAAGGCUCUGUUGUUAGAGAAGCGGUGUCUAACCAGAAAGCGACGGCUAGCUACGUGCCAGCAGCCGCGGUAAUUC